rnacentral:lncRNA from 1 species
AAAAUUCGUCCUCGAAUUUUGAAAAUAAAAAGAAACUAGGAUGCAACAGUUGUUUACGACAAUGGUGGUUAUGCUUCUCACAUAAUGAUGCAACUGUUAAAAGUUAUCACCAUAGUUAAUUUAAACUUGAGUUGUACUAUAUCUACAAGUCAAGUCGAGUAAAACAUUCAUAACCCAAGGCACAGAUUCGACUCUAGUAUUCACUGUUAAGCGUAAGAAUUUAAGUUCCUCAUAACCUCCGCUCAAGUAAAGGUUGUUACUCUCAUUAGCUAUAUAUCAUGUGACCUAUAUUGAUG